rnacentral:rRNA from 1 species
UCCGGUGAUCCUGCCGGAGGUUACUGCUAUCGGUGUUCGCUAAGCCAUGCGAGUCAUAUGUAGCAAUACAUGGCGUACUGCUCAGUAACACGUGGAUAACCUGCCUUGGGACCGGCAUAACCCCGGGAAACUGGGGAUAAUUCCGGAUAACGCAUAUGUGCUGGAAUGCUUUAUGCGUAAAAUGGAUUCGUCUGCCCAAGGAUGGGUCUGCGGCCUAUCAGGUAGUAGUGGGUGUAAUGUACCUACUAGCCAGCGACGGGUACGGGUUGUGAGAGCAAGAGCCCGGAGAUGGAUUCUGAGACAUGAAUCCAGGCCCUACGGGGCGCAGCAGGCGCGAAAACUUUACAAUGCGGGAAACCGUGAUAAGGGGACACCGAGUGCCAGCAUCAUAUGCUGGCUGUCCAGGUGUGUAAAAUACACCUGUUAGCAAGGGCCGGGCAAGACCGGUGCCAGCCGCCGCGGUAACACCGGCGGCCCGAGUGGUGAUCGUGAUUAUUGGGUCUAAAGGGUCCGUAGCCGGUUUGGUCAGUCCUCCGGGAAAUCUGAUAGCUCAACUAUUAGGCUUUCGGGGGAUACUGCCAGACUUGGAACCGGGAGAGGUAAGAGGUAC